rnacentral:lncRNA from 1 species
GUUGGUGAUUAUGAUGCUGCAAUGGCAGAUAUAAAUGCAGGAGGAGCAAGAGUGUGUUCGUAUUGGUACUACUGUUUCUUUAGAGAAUUAUGCAACAGUGCGUGUCAUCGUCCGCACAAACUGUGUAACUUUUGUCAGUUUGUUCACUAUUGUGACACAAAUUGUAGGAGUAGCUAUUUUCUUAGGUGGACGUGAAGAAGAAUAUGGUUACUAAAUGUUCUUAUUAAAGCAGAACUCUAUAGUUAACUUUUCUGCAAACGGAGGAAACAUUUUGUGUCGAUUGUA